AGCUCAGUGAUUGCAGCCGCUUUCAUUGGCAAUAUACGCUAUGCUGACUGUUUGAUGACAAAUGAGAAUAUGAGAGCU
rnacentral:snoRNA from 1 species